GACGAACGCUGGCGGCGUGCUUAACACAUGCAAGUCGAACGAAGAGCGAUGGAAGCUUGCUUCUAUCAAUCUUGGUGGCGCACGGGUGAGUAACGCGUAAUCAACCUGCCCUUUAGGGGGGGACAACAGUUGGAAACGACUGCUAAUACCGCAUACGACCUAAUCUCGGCAUCGAGGGAAGAUGAAAGGUGGCGUCUACAUGUAAGCUGUCAUCGGAGGAGGGGGUUGCGGCGGAUUAGCUAGAUGGGGGGGUAAAGGCCCAGCAAGGCGAUGAUCAGUAGCCGGGCUGAGAGGAUGGACGGCCCCAUUGGGAACGAGACACGGGUCAGACUCCUUCGGGGAGCAGCAGUUGGGAAUCUUCCGAAAAGGACGAAAGGCUUACGGAGGAACGCCGCGUGAGUGAUGGAGGCCGUCGGGUUGGAAAGGUCUGUUUAUCGGGACGAAAGGCCUUCUUGCGAAUAGUGAGAAGGAUUGACGGUACCGAAAGAGAAAGCCACGGCUAACUACGUG
rnacentral:rRNA from 1 species